UACGAAGGGGGCGAGCGUUGUUCGGAAUCACUGGGCGUAAAGGGCGCGUAGGCGGCCCUCCUUGUCGGCGUGUGAAGCCCCGGGCUCAACCUGGGAACGGGCGCGCGAGACGGGGGGCUGGAGUUCGGGAGAGGAGCGUGGAAUUCCCAGUGUAGAGGUGAAGUUCGUAGAUAUUGGGAAGAACACCGGUGGCGAAGGCGGCGCUCGUGGACCGAGACU
rnacentral:rRNA from 1 species